UCCUACGGGAGGCAGCAGUGGGGAAUAUUGCACAAUGGGGGAAACCCUGAUGCAGCCAUGCCGCGUGUGUGAAGAAGGCCUUCGGGUUGUAAAGCACUUUCAGUCAGGAGGAAGGUGGUGUAGCUAAUAUCUGCACCAAUUGACGUUACUGACAGAAGAAGCACCGGCUAACUCCGUGCCAGCAGCCGCGGUAAUA
rnacentral:rRNA from 1 species